rnacentral:rRNA from 1 species
UACAGAGGGGGCAAGCGUUGUUCGGAAUUACUGGGCGUAAAGGGCGCGUAGGCGGCCUGUUAAGUCGAACGUGAAAUCCCCGGGCUCAACCCGGGAACUGCGUCCGAUACUGGCAGGCUUGAAUCCGGGAGAGGGACGUGGAAUUCCAGGUGUAGCGGUGAAAUGCGUAGAUAUCUGGAGGAACACCGGUGGCGAAGGCGGCAUCCUGGACCGGCAUUGACGCUGAGGCGCGAAAGCCAGGGGAGCAAACGGG